CAAAUACUACCUCCGUCACGAAUUACUUGUCGCGGAAAUGGAUAGAAAUGGAUGUAUCUAGAACUAAAAAUAUGUCUAGAUACAUCCAUUUCUACGACAAGUAAUUCCGAACGGAGGGAGUAUGUG
rnacentral:pre_miRNA from 1 species